GAAUUGAAAAAAUCUCUAUUCCUUUGCUCACGAUGAUAUUUUACCCGCAUAGUUGCGAGAACUGAAACGACGAGACUAAGAACUCCCUCUCCGUCUUACUGUCCGUGAGUUUAGUUGCCUGUGAUUGCAUGCCAUGUCGGCCUCGAAGCUCGUGAUUUAUUCAAUCUUUCUAGCCCUAAUUUUCACGCACAUUAGGGCUGAUGUUUCAAUCGGAGGAGAGCUAUCAGACAAUGAAGAGGAGAGCGUCAAGGUUGUCGGAUCGGAUGGCUAUGCUGAUUCGUCCGCUUUGAAGAUCGAACUGGACCAGCUCAAGUCCAAGAUCCAAACCCUUGAGUCCCACGUCGAUGAGAAAUCCAAAGAAUUGAAAGCAAAGGAAGAGGUUGUAGCAGAAAAGGAAAAAAUCAUUCAAGACAAGUCAAAUAGCAUUGCUUCCUUGCAAACUGAGAUCACAUCACUCCAGAAAAAAGGGUCGUUAGAUGCUGAGGAGCAGGUCGGAAAGGCUCAUGCACGUGCUGGUGACUUAGAGAAGCAGGUUGACAAACUUAAAAGGGAACUAGAAACGCAAAAUAAGGAGAAGAAGGCCUUGGAAGCCCGGGUAAAUGAAGCUGAGAAGAAAGUACAGGAGUUGAGUUUGAAAUUAGAGAAUCUCCUAAAGGUUAAUGAUGAACAGAAGACAAAAAUUCGUAAAAUUGAACGGGAUCUUAAAGUUGCUGAGGAAAAAAUGAUUAAGGCAAAGUCUGAGGUCACUUCAAAAGCUAAAGAGUUAAUGGAGGUUCAUGGUGCAUGGCUUCCACCUUGGCUUGCUGUACAUUUUGUCCGUUGCCAGUCCUUCAUGGAGACAUAUUGGAAUGAGCAUGGGAAACCAGCCAUAGAUUUGCUGAUUCAGAUGGCUGUGGAGAAAAAGGCACAAGCUGGAAAAUGGGCUGAACCUCACAUAGAAACAAUUAAAACUAAAUGGGUCCCGACUAUAAAGGAACAGUGGAUUGUGGUAAAAACAAAUGGUGAACCACAUGUCCAGUCACUAACUAAAAAAUGUAUUGAAGUUUAUGAGGCAUCAAAGAUUGCAGUUACUCCACAUGUUGUCAGAGUGCGAGAAUUUGUUGAUCCUUACUUCCAGGAAGCUAAAAGGGUCAGCAAGCCAUACAUUGAUCAGAUUGCUACUGUGACAAAACCUCAUGUUGAUCAAGUCCGGGUGACUAUAAAGCCCUAUAUAAAGGAAGCAAUUAAUGCUUAUGGGAAGUUUCUAAAGUCCGCAACUACUUACCAUCAUCAGAUUCAAGCCACUGUGCAAGAGAAGCUGAAAAGGCAUGAGCUGACGAGACCUCUUGCCACCAAAGAGUUGGAGUGGUUUGUGGCUUCUGCUUUGUUGGCCCUGCCCAUCAUCUUUCUCUUUAGAAUUGGUUCUGCUAUUUUCUGCAAAAAGGCAAAGAAACCUACUCGGAAUGCUCAUACCAACAAUGCACGUCGUAAGGCUAAACGGGUCCAUCCGGGCAACUAGAGUACAACCAGGUCAUCUGCUGGUUUUUUAAUAUUUGUUUUUAGUGGGGGGGAGGAGACUAUCUAAGAUGGGAGAUGCACUCUUCUGAUGUUAUUGAGAAUCCUGCCUUUGUCAUUGAACUACAAUGUUUUUGAAGAUUGCCUUUUUCUUUGUGAAGAAAAUUUUCAGAACCUUUGUCACACUUCAUAGUUAGACGUCCAAGAAGUCUAGAAAUUCUUGUAUCAUGGGCCGUGUUAUUUAUGUUGAUAGAGAUGUAAUCUUAAUUUUUCAUUUUUAUUUUUAUUUUUUUCUUUUUCAAAAUUUUUCAGGGUUCAAGAAUUCUGUCAUCGUCCUUAUAUUAUGUUCUGUUUGUUAGAACCAUAUUUUCUGUGCCUAUUAACGACGACAAUUGAACAUCAUAAUUUAUGUAUUUAUUUGAUCUUUUUCCUGUA